AGACCCGAAACCCGGUGAUCUAGCCAUGGGCAGGUUGAAGGUUGGGUAACACUAACUGGAGGACCGAACCGACUAAUGUUGAAAAAUUAGCGGAUGACCUGUGGCUGGGGGUGAAAGGCCAAUCAAACCGGGAGAUAGCUGGUUCUCCCCGAAAGCUAUUUAGGUAGCGCCUCGUGAAUUCAUCUCCGGGGGUAGAGCACUGUUUCGGCUAGGGGGCCAUCCCGGCUUACCAACCCGAUGCAAACUGCGAAUACCGGAGAAUGUUAUCACGGGAGACACACGGCGGGUGCUAACGUCCGUCGUGAAGAGGGAAACAACCCAGACCGCCAGCUAAGGUCCCAAAGUCAUGGUUAAGUGGGAAACGAUGUGGGAAGGCCCAGACAGCCAGGAUGUUGGCUUAGAAGCAGCCAUCAUUUAAAGAAAGCGUAAUAGCUCACUGGUCGAGUCGGCCUGCGCGGAAGAUGUAACGGGGCUAAACCAUGCACCGAAGCUGCGGCAGCGAACGUAUCACCCAAGACAACUUUACGGAGUUGACGAUUGACGGAGCGAAGCGACGUCAAAGCGUUCAUUAAAGUCGAGUUGGCUUAGGGAUACGUUCGUUGGGUAGGGGAGCGUUCUGUAAGCCUGUGAAGGUGUGUCGUGAGGCAUGCUGGAGGUAUCAGAAGUGCGAAUGCUGACAUAAGUAACGAUAAAGCGGGUGAAAAGCCCGCUCGCCGGAAGACCAAGGGUUCCUGUCCAACGUUAAUCGGGGCAGGGUGAGUCGACCCCUAAGGCGAGGCCGAAAGGCGUAGUCGAUGGGAAACGGGUUAAUAUUCCCGUACUUGGUGUUACUGCGAAGGGGGGACGGAGAAGGCUAUGUUGGCCGGGCGACGGUUGUCCCGGUUUAAGCGUGUAGGUGUGUGUUCCAGG
rnacentral:rRNA from 2 species